rnacentral:misc_RNA from 1 species
AGAGGAUGCAGUGGAUAUUGGGAUCAUCGGAGGAGGAGAAAUCAAUGGACAGGGAUUGAAGUUUGUAGAGAGAUUUGAUGACAAGAAGAAUGUGAUGGUAAGCUGGAACCAUACUGGAGCUUGCCUUGGAGAUGAGUGUAGGCCGAGGUUGGUAGGGUUCAUCGGCUGCCGAAAUAUUAAAGUCUCUGAUGUUAGACUUAUUGAACCUGCUUAUUGGUGUUUGCAUGUUGUACGAAGUGAUAAGACAUCAAUCUGUGAUGUAAUCAUAUAUGGGAACUUCAAUUCACCCAACAACGAUGGUAUAGACAUAGAG